GCCCUCGUCGUUCAACGGACAGGACGGAAGCUUGCGGAGCUUCAGAUAGGGGUUCGAUUCCUCUCGAGGGCACCA
rnacentral:tRNA from 1 species